rnacentral:lncRNA from 1 species
UCUUGUACUAUGUUAUUGUAUAUAAGCAACAUGUUUAUCAGAAUUAUUUUGAAGAUAAACAACAUCUUGAAAUUAAGGAACAACUACAUCAGUUACUAAAAAAAUUGAAACAAAAAUACAUACCAAGAUUAAGUAUAGGCUUCAUGAAUUAAUAAUUUGCCUGGCUUGAGCCUGUGUGCCGUAUAUAGCUGUAUGAACAAACAAGAGAGAAAGAUAUAAUCAAAUCAAGGAAUCAUCACCUUGUGCAUGUUCUGCCAUAUCUAGCUGUUGGAUCCACCAUAGUAGGCAGAUAAUAUUAGCUUCAAAAGCUUCUUCAGCCAUAGAAUAUAUAUAUAAGGAGAAAAUGAUUUUUGAUCAGUGAGGAGGGAAAGGUAUAGUAAUUGUAAAUAUGUGAAUGAAGAUGUAAUGGAUCACCCAUUUCUAACUUUUGGUUCUUUGACCCUCAAC